CCAGCCAUGCCGCGUGCAGGAAGAAUGCCCUAUGGGUAGUAAACUGCUUUUAUACGGGAAGAAAAAAGAGUACGUGUACUCUACUGACGGUACCGUAAGAAUAAGGACCGGCUAACUCCGUGCCAGCAGCCGCGGUAAUACGGAGGGUCCGAGCGUUAUCCGGAAUUAUUGGGUUUAAAGGGUCCGUAGGCGGGCCGAUAAGUCAGGGGUGAAAGUUUGCAGCUCAACUGUAAAAUUGCCUUUGAUACUGUUGGUCUUGAGUUAUAGUGAAGUUGCCGGAAUAUGUAGUGUAGCGGUGAAAUGCAUAGAUAUUACAUAGAACACCGAUUGCGAAGGCAGGUGACUAACUAUAUACUGACGCUGAUGGACGAAAGCGUGGGGAGCGAACAGGAUUAGAUACCC
rnacentral:rRNA from 1 species